AGUGAACGCUGGCGGUAGGCCUAACACAUGCAAGUCGAACGGCAGCACAGUAAGAGCUUGCUCUUACGGGUGGCGAGUGGCGGACGGGUGAGGAAUACAUCGGAAUCUACUUUUUCGUGGGGGAUAACGUAGGGAAACUUACGCUAAUACCGCAUACGACCUACGGGUGAAAGCAGGGGAUCUUCGGACCUUGCGCGAUUGAAUGAGCCGAUGUCGGAUUAGCUAGUUGGCGGGGUAAAGGCCCACCAAGGCGACGAUCCGUAGCUGGUCUGAGAGGAUGAUCAGCCACACUGGAUCUGAGACACGGUCCAGACUCCUACGGGAGGCAGCAGUGGGGAAUAUUGGACAAUGGGCGCAGGCCUGAUCCAGCCAUACCGCGUGGGUGAAGAAGGCCUUCGGGUUGUAAAGCCCUUUUGUUGGGAAAGAAAAGCAGCAGGUUAAUACCCCGCUGUUCUGACGGUACCCAAAGAAUAAGCACCGGCUAACUUCGUG
rnacentral:rRNA from 1 species